UGGGUCCACCUCCCACCCGUGUCUAUCGUACCUUGUUGCUUCGGCGGGCCCGCCGUUUCGACGGCCGCCGGGGAGGCCUUGCGCCCCCGGGCCCGCGCCCGCCGAAGACCCCAACAUGAACGCUGUUCUGAAAGUAUGCAGUCUGAGUUGAUUAUCGUAAUCAGUUAAAACUUUCAACAACGGAUCUCUUGGUUCCGGCAUCGAUGAAGAACGCAGCGAAAUGCGAUAAGUAAUGUGAAUUGCAGAAUUCAGUGAAUCAUCGAGUCUUUGAACGCACAUUGCGCCCCCUGGUAUUCCGGGGGGCAUGCCUGUCCGAGCGUCAUUGCUGCCCUCAAGCACGGCUUGUGUGUUGGGCCCCCGUCCCCCUCUCCCGGGGGACGGGCCCGAAAGGCAGCGGCGGCACCGCGUCCGGUCCUCGAGCGUAUGGGGCUUUGUCACCUGCUCUGUAGGCCCGGCCGGCGCCAGCCGACACCCAACUUUAUUUUUCUAAGGUUGACCUCGGAUCAGGUAGGGAUACCCGCUGAACUUAA
rnacentral:rRNA from 2 species